GCCGAGAGAGCACCAUUCCUUGCAUGCUUGUUCACUGCAUUCAAACGGACACAGUUUGUCCGCCUUCAUCCACUAAAUCCACGUGUGUGUGCCCAGAAAUAUAUUCCGGCCACACGUAUGUUUGCUAGUUGGCUAGCAUUAAACACAACGAUGGUUGGAUCCUAGCCUUUACCCGCUAUUUAAGCGACGCCAGGUCAAAUAAUCACACCACACCACCGCUUCACUUCUCCUCCUUGUAUCAUUUUCUUUACACUCUUUGUGACAUCCGACAAGCAAAAAGAGGAAUUCUCUGACAUAAAAGUCGAGUGGGUGGCCCGUCGAGCUCGCCGGAUACGAGCCAUGCAUCUCUUUGCUCCAUCUCCCUCGCCGCUCCAGGCUGUUGCAUGCUAGCUUGAGGAGGAGGCCGCUCCAAGAAGGCGCGUGGUUUAGCAACUUGCCGCUCCAAGCCAGCUUGUUGUGGGGUGGCGAGUUGCUCCAGGUCGGCAUGUGGGGGAGCACGGCGACACGGGCAUCGUGGCUACCAUGGACGAGGCCGUGUCAUACCGCUCCUCUCGUGCCUGUGACCGCACCAUCCGCCACCAAUGUUGAUGGAAUCGUGCUCUCCGACGGAGAAAGAAGCUGGCUUCACGGAGAUCAACGACGCGGCGACAAACACGUCCUCGCAUGCCGCCAUCAAUGAGGAAAAGUAGAAAAUAGAAGGUUGUCGUCCUUGGGUCCCAGGAAGCCAUCGUCGUCGCGACGUCGACGUGCACUUAGUCCGUGACUUGCCCGCUCUCGCAGGCCACCAUUGUCCCCCCACCCCCAAAACCAACACAACAUCUUUGCUUCACGGAAGCGGGGCACUCUUCCCCUCCGGCAGACACGUAUUGCUUUGGUGCCAUUCCAAUGAGCGCAGUUGCCAAAAAGUCGUCCUUUCGUUGAAGCAUAUACAUCCCAGGCUCAUUCUAAUCCGUUGAGUGGACUGUCGGGCAUGAGCAAGGGAGACCCGUAGAGGCCGGUCGUAGACUAGUCAAGGGUAUCCGUGUCGUGGAAUGGAUAUUCGUCGGCGUCGGACAUCGACUACCUUAUUCUAGUGUAAUUUUUAGUUGAAAAAUGUUCAAAAUGUAAUGAAUUUCGUUGGAUUAUAUAAAAU
rnacentral:lncRNA from 1 species